rnacentral:misc_RNA from 1 species
CAUCUUGAUUACACUCGGCUCAGCAAGUGGAAGAGACAUAGGCAGCUUGCCUAACUAACUAUAAAUUAAUGUAGUCUGUUGAUCUUUUGAGUGCGGAUAAUCAUUGGGUUAUUCCUUCUUAAAUAAUGGCUGGAAAUGAAGGAAUGGAACAUCUUAUACCCCUAGUUAAUAAACUCCAAGAUGCAUUUACCCAGCUAGGAGUUAGUCUUUCCUUAGAUUUACCUCAAAUAGCUGUUAUAGGAGGCCAAAGCGCAGGGAAAAGUAGCGUUCUUGAAAAUUUUGUUGGAAGAGAUUUUCUACCACGAGGUUCUGGGAUUGUUACUAGAAGACCUCUAGUGCUGCAACUAGUCAAUUCUAAUGUUGAGUAUGGAGAAUUUUUACACUGUAAAGGAAAGAAAUUUACAGACUUUGAAGCAAUUAGAAAAGAAAUUGAAGAUGAAACUGACAGAAUCACAGGAGCUAAUAAGGGGAUUUCUCCUGUCCCAAUCAAUUUGAGAGUAUAUUCUCCUCAUGUUUUAAACUUAACCCUUAUUGACUUACCUGGGAUGACAAGAGUGCCAGUAGGUGACCAGCCUGCUGACAUUGAACACCAGAUUCGAGAUAUGAUUCUAUCAUUUAUUCGUAAAGAGAAUUGUCUCAUUCUUGCUGUCACUGCUGCAAAUCAAGAUGUGGCCACUUCUGAUGCCCUGAAGCUUGCCAAAGAAGUUGAUCCAGAAGGGAUGCGUACCAUAGGAGUCAUCACAAAAUUGGAUCUAAUGGAUGAGGGAACAGAUGCUCGUGACAUUCUUGAAAACAAGACCCUUCCCUUGCGCAGAGGUUAUGUUGGUGUGGUAAACAGAAGCCAGAGGGAUAUUGAAGGAAGAAAAGAUAUUAAAGCAGCUCUUGAUGCAGAGAGGAAAUUCUUUCUAAGUCAUCCUAGCUACAGGCAUAUGGCAGAGAAAAUGGGAACUCCAUAUUUGCAACGGGUACUUAACCAGCAACUUACAAAUCAUAUCCGAGAUACAUUGCCGGCAUUGAGGGAAAAAUUACAACGUCAGUUACUUUCUAUGGAAAAGGAAGUUGAAGAGUAUAAAAGUUUUCGUCCUGAUGACCCUUCACGUAAAACUAAGGCCAUGAUGCAAAUGAUUCAGCAGCUACAGACAGACUUUGAACAGAAUAUUGAAGGCUCUGGUUCUGCAGCUGUAAAUACCAAUGAGCUCUCGGGUGGUGCUCGUAUCAAUCGUCUGUUUCAUGAACGUUUUCCAUUUGAAAUUGUUAAGAUGGAGUUUGAUGAAAAAGAAUUGAGAAAAGAAAUUGCUUUUGCAAUCAGAAACAUCCAUGGUAUAAGGGUUGGGCUUUUCACUCCAGAUAUGGCUUUUGAAGCUAUUGUUAAAAGACAGAUAGCCAGGCUGAAGGAACCUUCUCUAAAAUGUGUGGAUUUAGUUGUUAGUGAGCUAGGCAAUGUCCUUAGGAAGUGUACAGAAAAGAUGGGUCGAUUCCCAGCACUACGUGAAGAAACGGAAAGAAUCAUCAACACUCACAUCCGUGAACGAGAACAGAAGACAAAAGAGCAGCUGAUUCUGUUAGUCAAUGUGGAACUGGCAUACAUGAAUACUAACCAUGAAGACUUUAUAGGAUUUACAAAUGCUCAACAGAAAGCAGAAAGUACAGCUGGAAAACGAACCAUUGGAAAUCAGGUGAUUCGUAAAGGCUGGAUGUGCAUUCAUAACUUGGGUAUCAUGAAGGGUGGUUCUCGAGACUAUUGGUUUGUCUUAACCUCUGAGUCACUCUCCUGGUACAAGGAUGAGGAGGAACGAGACAAAAAGUACAUGUUACAUUUGGAUGGUCUGAAGAUCAAGGAUAUUGACCCUGGCUUCAUGUCACGUCGUCAUAUGUUUGCUCUCUUUAAUCCUGAUCAGAGUAGGAAUGUCUAUAAAGAUUACAAACAGUUGGAGCUAUCAUGUGAGGGUCAAGAAGAAGUGGACAGUUGGAAGGCAUCAUUUCUCAGAGCAGGUGUAUAUCCAGACAGAUCAUCAGGGUCAGUAAAUGGAGAUGGAGAGUCUGAAAGUUCAGGCCAAUCUAUAGACCCUCAGUUAGAGCGUCAAGUUGAAACAAUCAGAAACCUGGUGGAUUCUUACAUGAAAAUUGUAACCAAAACUUUCAGGGACCUUGUGCCUAAGAUUAUCAUGCAUUUAACAAUUAAUAGUGCAAAAGACUUCAUCUACAGUGAUCUGCUUCCAAGCCUUUACGCAUCAUGUGAUCAGGCAACACUAAUGGAAGAGUCCCUGGAAGAAGCUAAGAAACGAGAUGAAAUGCUUCGGAUGUACUGUGCUUGUAAAGAUGCUCUGAAAAUAAUUGGUGACGUUUCCAUGACAACAUCAUACCAACCUGUUCCACCUCCAGUGAAAGACGAUUGGCUGAAGGCCAGCACACCUGAAUCACCCAGACCUUCAUCACCAGGGCCAAGAAGAAACUUAUCUAUUAGAGCCCCCCCACCUCCACCGGUAGCUUCUCGACCAGCACCAGUAAUACCAUCUCGCCCUGAUGCUGGAACCAAUAGAGCACUUCCUGCAGCUCCACCUAGGCCAGUGUCUUCAGGAAACCUUCCUCCACCUUUGGUACCAUCCCGAGGGUCUGGAGGAAAUCUGCCUUCCAUUCCACCACGAACAUCACAGGCAGGACCUGAGCCCAUUCUGGAUGCAUUUGGCAUGCCUCUACAUAAAUAACUGGCCAUUUUGUCAGAGAGAGGCUGUUCUCUCCAAUUGAAUAAAAGAUGUUCGUUGGUGACUGGAUGCACUGCUUGUCUGUACUUCUUUUGCUUUAUCUUCUGCUUCUUAAAGCGUAGAUUGUUUUUGCCCUGUUUGAAGGAACAUGUAUAAGUGAGAAUGUAAUGUUACAUAGGUUGUAACACAUUGCAGCAGGGAGACCCCUACCUUCUGUUCCUCCGCGAAUCCCUGACAGACCACAGGUUCCAGCCAGGCCUAAUUAGGUCACUACCGAU